rnacentral:misc_RNA from 1 species
AAAUUUGAACGUAAUAUCGUAGUUUAUGAUUUUACCGUAGGAAGGCGCUCGUGGAGCAAGUUAAAAAUGGCUGAUGAUAUACGAAUGCAUUUGCGAAUCGCGAGUCGAUUCGUGUUCUUCGGUCGUUACUUUUUGUGAUUUUCUCACGUGUAGUGGCAUUUCUUUGCGUGUUUGUAAAAUAUUAAUAAUAUUAAUUCAAAUUUUUUCAUGUAUAACAAUUAAUUGGAAAGGAACAAAGGAAAUAAAAUAUUCGGAAUAUUUUAACGAAAGUUCCCGAAGGUGAUUCAUUGUCUAACUGAAUUUUUAGCUUAGAAAGAUCGUGUUUUGGAGAAAAUUCUUACAUUACGAAUAAAAUUUUAAUUAAAUAUGACUGAAGAACACCAAUUACCCUCUGAUUCUGAUGAAGAUGAUGAAGAUUAUAUUCCCGAUGGUGCAGAUAGUGAGCCAGUAUCUGAAGUAGAAUCUGAAGGUGAUGCAGAGAGUGGUCCUGAAGAUGAGAAUGAUGAAAACCAAAGAGAAACGACAAAGAAAAGAGGAAGAAAGAAAAAUAAAGUUAUAAAAUCUAAAAUUAGAAAGCGUAGAAGAACAAGGAAAAAGAUAACAGAGAAUAAGAAUGAUGAAAAAGAGGAAAAACAACAAAAAGAAGAAUCUAUUGAGAAAAAAGAACUUACCGAAGAAGAGGAGAAAAAAAGGGCUGAUUCUCUUUGGGCUGAUUUUAUGAAAGACACAGCAAUGACACCUAAACCUAAGCAACAAAAUGUAACAAAUAAAUCUAAAGAGAGAUCUCCAUCUAUAGAAAAGCCAAAAGUAGAAGAAAAAGUAAAAAUAACUAAAGUAUUUGAAUUUGCUGGUGAAGAAGUAAAAGUAGAAAAAGAAGUCUCCAUAGAUUCGGCAGAAGCAAGAAUAUCUCUAUCUUCUGCUGAGAAUUCUGAGAAAACAGGAAAUUCUGGAUCUCCUGCGGGUAGAGGAUCUGGAAGAGGUAGAGGUUUCAAGCGGGCUGGUCUAGGGGGUAUUUCUUCUGUCCUUGGUCAAUUAGGAAAGAAGGCGAAAAUUAGUACGUUAGAAAAGUCCAAACUAGAUUGGGAUAAUUAUAAGAAACAAGAGAAUUUGGAGGAAGAAAUUAGUACUCAUAACAAAGGCAAGGAUGGAUAUUUAGAACGUCAAGAUUUCUUACAAAGGGCAGAUUUGCGACAGUUUGAAAUUGAAAAGCAAUUACGUAAUGCAAAUAGACGUAGUACACGGUGAAUUUAUAAUUUUAUGUAUAUAUAUUUUAUAUAUAUAUAUAUAUCUUCCCUAACAAUGAAAACCAGAAAUGGUAUUGAGAAAAAUAUCUUAUUAGAAUUGCCAAUUAUUGGCGCUUGUAGCACAUAUUUACUCGAAUUGUUUAAACUCUUACUAAAUAUCUCAUGCCAUGUAUAAAAAUGUGAUUGCCUCGCUUGGCUUGACAAUCGGCUGGAUCUGGUUAAGAAACGGUUGAGAGCCAAUUCUGUGAGAAGAGACUGAUCAUUCCAAUGUAUCGAAGAUAAUAUAGUACGUUAUGUAAUAGUCUAAUGUAUCAUCUGCGAGCGUUGUCUCGAUCCAUUAUAUCACAGAACUUCGCAUCGAAGCAGGAUGUUUGAAGCUUGGUGCUUCGGAGACCGACGAUAUAUAUUCUAACAAUAAACAAGCUCCAGAGAUGUUUUUAUUCCAUUUCAGUGGAAGAAAGGAUGAUUGAUGACAGUGUAGAUUAGUAAAAUCAAUGCUCGUUUCCGAUUCAAUCGUAUAUAUGAUAUAAAGAGAAGAAAAUCGAAAAUACAUAACCUCUACGAAUAAUUCGAAACAGCAAGUGUAACAAGAAUAUCACAACGAGAAAUUCAAAUACGAUUCUUACAAAGAAGAAGAAGAAAAAGAAGAGACGAAAAAUCUUGUUCGAACCUUCGUAAGUUUCUCCUUUAAAAAGAAUAAAAGAGCAAUUCUUCCUUUUA